GAUGAAGAACGCAGCGAAAUGCGAUAAGUAAUGUGAAUUGCAGAAUUCAGUGAAUCAUCGAAUCUUUGAACGCACAUUGCGCCCCCUGGUAUUCCGGUGGGCAUGCCUGUUCGAGCGUCAUUUCACCACUCAAGCCUCGCUUGGUAUUGGGCAUCGCGGUCCGCCGCGUGCCUCAAAUCGACCGGCUGGGUCUUCUGUCCCCUAAGCGUUGUGGAAACUAUUCGCUAAAGGGUGUUCGGGAGGCUACGCCGUAAAACAACCCCAUUUCUAAGGUUGACCUCGGAUCAGGUAGGGAUACCCGCUGAACUUAAGCAUAUCAAUAAGCGGAGGA
rnacentral:misc_RNA from 1 species